AACAGGUCAAGUCGAUCUACUGAUUAGUUUUUCCCCAGUGACUCUUGGAAAACACUGCACAAGGUACAGGCUGCUGACGUGCUGACAACCAGGAGUGUCGUAGCACAAGAAGAGAAUGGAGCAGCCAUUGCCAAGGGGAGGCAGAGCGGAGCUGUUCCCAGCUGCAAGCCUGGUCCUGCAAGAGUCUCCACAUUUUUUCCUAGUGCAGAGUCUGCAGUUGGGGGACAUGAAUUCUGGUGCUCUGUUCUCCAUGAAUGCUUCUCACCUUUCUUCCUGGAGCC
rnacentral:lncRNA from 1 species